GUGCUCAGUUCAGUAGCGUAUAAAUUAAAAUUGGAACGAUACAGAGAAGAUUAACAUGACCCCUGCACAAGGAUGACACGCUAAUUCACGAAGUGUUCCAUAUUUUU